GUGGGGAAUAUUGGACAAUGGGCGAAAGCCUGAUCCAGCCAUGCCGCGUGUGUGAAGAAGGUCUUCGGAUUGUAAAGCACUUUAAGUUGGGAGGAAGGGCAGUAAGUUAAUACCUUGCUGUUUUGACGUUACCAACAGAAUAAGCACCGGCUAACUCUGUGCCAGCAGCCGCGGUAAUACAGAGGGUGCAAGCGUUAAUCGGAAUUACUGGGCGUAAAGCGUGCGUAGUCGGUUAUCUAAGUCGGGUGUGAAAUCCCCGGGCUCAACCUGGGAAUUGCAUUCGAUACUGGAUAGCUAGAGUUCGGCAGAGGGAAGCGGAAUUUCGGGUGUAGCGGUGAAAUGCGUAGAUAUCCGAAGGAACAUCAGUGGCGAAAGCGGCUUCCUGGACCAGAACUGACGAUCAGGCACGAAAGCGUGGGGAGCAAA
rnacentral:rRNA from 1 species